GGGGAGGAGUGAAGGGAGGGUCAGCGGAGGAAUACAGGGAGGGAGGAAGGAAGGGGAAGCAGAUGGAAGAGAUCCACUCACAGGAUUCUGCGUUGUUGAUUUGUGUGUGGAAGUAUCGUGGGUUUUGCCUGCCUCCAUUGUUGCUCGUCUGCUGAAAUAAGUUCCAAUCUUUGCCACGGUGCCUGUCUCUCUGUGCUCAGGUUUAUCGGAGCUCUCAGGUUGUACCCCAGCAGGCCCCUCUUCAGGUCCAACGGGUUCUCUGGACGUGAUUGGGGUAGAGAGCAACAGGGAGACAAAUUGCAUACAUCGCCCUGCUCGUUCAUUGGUCAAGAGGCUGUGACGUAGGCAACGGUGAGCGCUGAUUGGCCCCCGUCCGGUGUUGGGGAGGAGUCAGCCACAACUUGAUUCCACCAACAUGUCCGACCACUGGAGCCUCUUGCCUUGUUAUCAUUUCGUCUUCCUGUGCGGCUUUACGGGGCUGGGGGCCUUUGUGGGGCCUUUGUGGGGGCUUGUACCCACUUCAUACUGCCUGCUGGAGGAGAUGGGGAGAGGGGGAGGGCUGGGGAGGGCUGGACGAUGGCUUGAUAAAAUCGGGGAUGGGAUUAGGUAUCUUCAGAAUCAGACUACCGCCUUUUGCCACCCUGCCUCUGAGGAGAGGCGCGACCUAGCUCUUGUGUCCUCAUGUUUAUUCAUCCCUUCGCCUGCCUCCAAUGUUACCACAAAAAAUGUAUUUUUCCUGUACUCUCUUUUUUUUGCACGGCAUUUUUGUCAUUGACCUGGAUGAAAUGAAAGUUUCAUCAACUUUUAUGGCUUUU